AGUGAACGCUGACGGUAGGCCUAACACAUGCAAGUCGAACGGCAGCACAGUAAGAGCUUGCUCUUACGGGUGGCGAGUGGCGGACGGGUGAGGAACACAUCGGAAUCUACUUUUUCGUGGGGGAUAACGUAGGGAAACUUACGCUAAUACCGCAUACGACCUACGGGUGAAAGCAGGGGAUCUUCGGACCUUGCGCGAUUGAAUGAGCCGAUGUCGGAUUAGCUAGUUGGCGGGGUAAAGGCCCACCAAGGCGACGAUCCGUAGCUGGUCUGAGAGGAUGAUCAGCCACACUGGAACUGAGACACGGUCCAGACUCCUACGGGAGGCAGCAGUGGGGAAUAUUGGACAAUGGGCGCAAGCCUGAUCCAGCCAUACCGCGUGGGUGAAGAAGGCCUUCGGGUUGUAAAGCCCUUUUGUUGGGAAAGAAAAGCAGCAGGUUAAUACCCCGCUGUUCUGACGGUACCCAAAGAAUAAGCACCGGCUAACUUCGUG
rnacentral:rRNA from 1 species